CGGUUUUUGUUAGAAAUUUAAUUUUAUUUAUUUUUUUCAUAGUUUUAUGAUGUAUUAGACCCAUAUACCAAACCACAAGUAAAGAUACUUAUCCACAAAUAUAACAAAGUAGAAUUUCCAUUUGAAGAAGUUGUGAGGGUUCCAGAUGUACGAUGUAUGAUUAAAGGUAGCUUGUCUGACAUAGUUGGCUAUGUAAAGACUUACUCCAUGCUUAAUAUUUGCAGAGAGCAAGAUCCAGGUAGAGAGGUUGAUAUCUUAUCAGAAUUUGAAAAAAGAUUGUAUAAAAUUGGAGAAGAAGAUAAUAUUACUCCAAAUGAAGUAACAAAUCUGUAUAUAGAUUAUGUUUUGAUUCUCUGCAGAAAAGUAGUUACACAAACUGUACAAUGAUGUUUCAAAUUAUACACUUCUGCUUCAAUCAAACACAGCAACAAAACAAAAAAAAUUCUUUUAGUUUAAAUGUUAUAAUUUGUUGUUGAUAAUAAUUUUGUAAAUAAAGGUUAAAUUUAUUAGCAUUA